GUGUCAGCCGCCGCGGUAAGACAGAGGGGGCAAGCGUUGCUCGGAAUCACUGGGCGUAAAGGGCGCGUAGGCGGGAGGCCAAGUCGGUCGUGAAAUCCUCGGGCUCAACCCGAGGGGGUCGGCCGAAACUGGUUUUCUUGAGGGGCGCAGAGGAGCCUGGAAUUCCCGGUGUAGCGGUGAAAUGUGUAGAGAUCGGGAGGAACACCGGUGGCGAAGGCGGGGCUCUGGGCGCACCCUGACGCUGAGGCGCGAAGGCGUGGGGAGCAAACGGGAUUAGAUACCCCCGUAGUCC
rnacentral:rRNA from 1 species